ensembl:lncRNA
GCGCAGUUGUUUCGCCACAGUUUGCGGGGUGCAUUCCUCCCCCACGCCCUGGGCGCCAUGGAAACCGCCCUGUAAACUCGGGCAGCGGCACUGACCUUUAAAUUCAUUUGCUACCGGCCGAAGAGCGAUCCCCUUGCGCCCUUCCAAGUUGCGGGUCCUCAGCGCGGUCCGCUGCCCCGACAGCGCGCAGAGAUCCGGCGACCCUAAGGGCUCUGGAGAAUCCGAAACGGAUUCCCGACUCUGGGCCGGGCUCCCAACUUUGCUGAGCUUUCAGUGUGAAGGGGGAGUUUGUGGGGUUCCCGUCUGGUUGCAAGCCUGAGUUAAAGGAAGAUGUAGAAAACUCGCGCUUCUGGAGGCUGUGCCUGUGGACGUGGGUUUAUCUUGGAGAACUCAUUUGUGAACUUGAGUAGUGCUGUUAUUUCUUGAUGGGUUCAUUUGGCUUCCAAGGUGGGACCCGAGGGUGGCGAGGCCUGAGAGCGGCCGGAGGCUGUCGCGCGGGUCUGGCACUGGGCCUUCCCGGGAAGUGGUCUCUUCACCAACGUAGGGCCGGGCCGCCACCUGCCGCUCUCAGCAGGUUCCAGAGGGUGAACUUCAGCUGGUUCCAGCCACAAAGCCAGGCCUGCAGGGCUGGGGUGGGGUCUGCAAUUAUCCCUCAGUCCUGCGGAGGAACGGUGAUGUAGAGCCCAGGUUUUCCUUGGGUCCAAACUCCAGCUCAGCGACUUCUGGAUUACUGUGGCCUUCUCCCCAAAGUCUUCAGAAUACAUACUUAACUUCACUGGGACUGGUCAACAUUGUUUUCUUGUGCCAUCUUUCAUUUUCUGUACCGAAGUGAGAAGGUGACAAUCAGUUAUGCAGAGUAUAUUGCUUCUCGACAACAUUGUUUCCAGAAUGGCACUCUUCAUGCCCUGCCCCUCUACAAUCAUUACUCCAGAGACAAGGCUGCAUGACCAGUCCCACCCCCCUGUAGCCACCAAUGGCUAUGACAUCAUUGGAGCAGAUCUCUCCUCUUCCUGGCCCAGUUACUUCUAUUACUGCACCAUUUUAUGAUGCUAGCUUCCAUUGCCAAGGCUGCCUCCCACUGACUGAGGGAGUGUGGGGUUACACUGAAUGAAGCAGAACUUGAGGGGCCCAAGCCUUAUCUCAGCCUUUCCUCAGUAUGAGGUUCCACUGGACGGGGCUUCUCCAUGACUAGUGAGAAUCGCUGUGUGGGUGCUGAAGACCCUGGUCUGGUGAUUUGGCACGUGUGGUGGCCACACACUGGAAUUAGAGUUGAUGAUCCAUGGAGGUUUGAAAACUGAGGCUCAGAAAGAGGGGCGUGUUCCUCAGAGUCUCAGCUAGUUAGCAUCAGAAUGAGCUAUAGAGUGAAGGGCUUCCCUUCCACAUGGCCUUUCCCAUGCACUCUUCUGGAGCAGCACUUAGUUUGACAACAAAUCCCAAGGGUCUAGUCGGGGAUUCAAGCAGUAUCUGGGGCUGCUUUUGUAGUGAUGCAAAUCAGAUCCAUUGUGAGCUCUGCCUUGGGUCUCCUCAAGUUUGAAGUUCGGUUCUGCCAUUACUAGCUUUGGAAUGUUGGGCAAGGUACUUAAUCUCCCUACAUCAAAUGAAGAUUGGACAUGCCAACUCACAGGGGUGCUGUGAGAAUUACACAAGAUAAUGUGUAUGCAUUGUUUUCAAAAAAAAUAAUUAUGUAAUCUGUUGAGAAGUUUCUGUUCUACUUCUAGUCUCCUGAUAGCUUUUACCAUGAACAGCUGUAGAAUUUGGUCCAAUAUUUUUCUCCAACUAGUGACAGGAUCAUAUGGCUUUUUCCUUUCCUCUGUUAAAAUGAUGACUUUUGGGGGUGGAUCUUCCAAUGCUGAACCAACACUGCCAUCCCUAUAACAAAACUACUUUCUACAUUCUGCCAGAUCUGACUUCCAAUAGUUUGUUUUGUUAAACAAAUUUCUAUCUAUGUUCAUACUUUUUUCUUCUAUUAUCUUUACCCAAUUUUAGGAUUAGCACAAUGUUAAGUUCCUAAAAUGAGGGGAGAAGUGUUCCUUCUUUUUUCUGCUUUAAUUGUUUGAUAUAAUUUAUCAGUUAAAAUGUUUAUGAGCCUGCUGUUGUCAUAUAGGUAGGUUUUCAAGCUAGGAAUAUACUUUCUUUAAUAGGUGCUAUUCAAAUUUUAUAUUUCCUCCAGAGUUAGUUUCAUUAAUUUGUCUUCCAAGGUACUUCAUAGAAGUUUUCAAAUUUAUUUCAAAACAGAUUUUUGUAAUAUGCUUUCUAUAUCCUUUUAAAUUCUGUAAAAUCUGUGGUAAUGUCUCCUAGAUCUUGAUAUUGUAAUUAAAAAAAUGUGUAACUGAUACUGUGUAACAAGAAGAAAAGGUCUAAAAGAGCAGGGGAAUUGGGAGGGGUAGGGGAAGGGAAAAAAAAGGAAAGGAAAAAAUAUAAGAGGAAAAAAAUGGAAACAAGGUCUUUGCAAAUAGG